rnacentral:antisense_RNA from 1 species
CACAGCCGCCGCCCGGGUAGCGUCCCGCAGACGCCGUAGGUAGCACGCGAUGGAACGCGGCGGAGGGGAGCGCGGACACGGCUGCCGGGCGCUGCGGCCAUCGGCGCCCUGGACGCCCGCUCCGGCCUUCGGGGCCGGAUAUCCCCACUCUCGCGGGCUCUUUCGCGUGGACCCCUCCUCCGGCCGAGACUCACACUGCGGUGAACGCCAGUCAGCUGGCGUGAAAUAAGGUCGCUGGGAAGGCACCAAGUCACCAAGGUGGGGGAUGGCCAGGUCGUGGUAGUUGCGACAAAGAAAAAUAUAAGUCACAUUGCAUUUGUUUCUCGCCCACCCACCGCUCCCGGCGUCUCUUCCCGGGCUCCUUGCCAGCGUGCCGAGGCGCAGGCAGGGUGAUGGAGGCUCCCCGGCCGGGAGGAUCUGCCGGGGAGAGCGGCUUCCCUCAUCGAUUCGGGAGCGCCAGGCCCGGCGCGCCCGGGCUCCUGUGACCUGCGAGCCCGCGAAUUCCAGCGGCAUAAGAUAAGGAGCGGCGAGGGCCCAACAGGACUGAGGUCAGCCAGCUAUAAAUACGCCUCCAGCUCCACCGCGGGCUCACGCUGGUGACCUCGUGUACCCUCCGGAGGCUCAUUCCGUCCAUUUGGAAAAUGCAAAUAAUUGUCACCACCUCUUUUCUUCCAUUUCCCCUCAUUCAUGGUGGAAAAUGCUUUUAAAAGUAUUCGAUGACCCGUAUGUGAGGAAAGAGGAGAUAGGCCCCUUUUUCACCAAAUGUGACUUUAACCUCCUUAGUAAUCCAAGGAAUGUAUCAAGUUUAAGUCACUUAACAAAAGAUGUUCUUUUAAAGGUGCAUUUUAAAAAAUCACUUUUAAAACUGGGUAAACUGGGUAAAAAGAAAGGGGGAAGGAAAACAAUGUGCCAGGCAUUUGUAUUGACACACAUUCUUGCCUGAAGAGGUGUUUAGAUUCCAGGGUAUUCCCUUAUAUUCUGGUGUAAAUGUUUGAAUUCCCGUGUAUUUUGUUUCAAUUUUUUGGUUUAUCUUUUAUUCUGUCUCCCUUUUCUUCUUUUACCCGCCUUUGCCCUUAAUGCUGCAGAUAGCCUCCGUCAUUCUGAAUUAUUUUUCAAUUCUGUUUUCUUCUCUAAUCUUUUUUUCUGGGCUCUUCAGCUGUCUCAGGUUUGACAGUCAUGGGUUGUAUCUUGCUAUGCAGGAAGAAUAGGAUACGUGAGAUUACUUGCAUCAACUAAAAUUGGUCACUUUUCUUUCUCAAGUUUCCUUCAACCCAGCUUUAGUUUUUUUGUUUUUUGGGGGGUUUUUUUGUUCUUUUUUUUUUUGAGACGGAGUCUCGCUCUGUCGCCCAGGCUGGAGUGCAGUGGCGCCAUCUCGGCUCACUGCAAGCUCCGCCUCCUGGGUUCACGCCAUUCUCCUGCCUCAGCCUCCCGAGCAGCUGGGACUACAGGCGCCCGCCACCACGCCCGGGUAACUUUUUGUAUUUUUAGUAGAGACGGGGUGUCACCGUGUUAAUAGGAUGGUCUCGAUCUCCUGACCUCGUGAUCCUCUCGCCUCGGCCUCCCAAAGUGCUGGGAUUACAAGCGUGAGCCACUGCGCCCAGCCCCAGCUUUAGUUCUAAAGGAAAAGAUGGGCCUUUUGCUUAAGGAGAUUCAGAUUGAUUGGUCAAAGCUCUCAUUGACGUAUGCUGAGCAAUGUGUCGGCAGAGAAAACCAUGGCAAGCGUGUUAUUAUGCUCUUUAUAGUCUAGUUGGAUUUUUAGACAUAUGAAUUGGUCUAUAAAAUAGACAACAAUCUCAGGUGGGAACCUUAGUACAUCAAGUUUCUGAAAUGUACAAAUGAGUAUUCCCUGGCUUGUGUUAUCUGCCACUGUAGAAAUGAGAGCAAAAUUGAAGCAUCAAAUUUUAAGUCGUGAUAUGUUUGCUUCUCUGCAAAAGACUCUCCUUUUCAAAUCUUCAGGAAUUUUUCGCUCUCCUUUGAUAAGGCCCAGCUAGUACCUAGGCUUCAAUCUCAGCGCCCUGGCUACCAGCAGCUAGUGGGGCAUGCUGUUCUCCCUGGCUACUGGCAUGUUUAUGCAUGCCAGCCCGUUUCUCCGGUCUGUCUGCCCAGGGAGACAUCUGGACACGUGUGUUCUGGCCCCCAAACUCAAAAGCAACAUCUCGGGAUCCACAGUUAACAUUCCGUAAUGUGUUGGUAUUCCUUUAAGUGGGUUACUAGAAUAGGCUGGAAAUGGUCUUUUCUUCUGUCCAGGUAGGUCCCAAGAGAGGUAGUUGUUACAUGCCCAAAGCAGCAUUCAUUAAUUACAUCGUGCAUUUAGUUAUUUGUUUGUGGUCUGAGCCCCUCUGCUCCACUAGAAUAUAAACUCCAUGAGCAAAAGACUUUGUCAGUCUCUCUUUUUUUAGAGACAGGUUCUCACUUUGUCACCCAGGCUGGAGUGCAGUGGCGUAGUCAUAGUUCACUGUAACCUGGAACUCCUGGGCUCACGUGAUCCUCCCCCCUCAGCCGCCCAAGUAGCUGGGACUACAGGCCAGCUUGACUUUGUCAAUCUAUUCUCAACUCUCUCCUCAGAGCCUAGUGCCUGGCAAGUGAAUAUUUGUUAAAUGAGAGAAGAGAAAUAAGCAUACAUAUCCUCUAGGCAUUUCUAAACCUUGUCACCAAGACCCUUUUAGUGUUAGAGGGUGGCAUGGCUAUCUUGGAAAGAGUGAAGGUUGGCUGGGAAAGCUGUGGAUCACAUCCUCUUCAGUGAAAUGGCACUUCUGCCUUCAGGGAUCCAAGUUGAAUAGAUUAAUCCAAGCUAAUCCAUUCAAAGUCAUUUUCAUGUUGUAAAGAUCUUAUAAGGCAAAAGGCAGCACGAAGUCUCUGGGUCUGAUGAUAAGUUAGAGGCCAGUAAGGAGGCACGAGUGAAGGAAUGCCAUUGGUAGGGUGACCCUUUAGGUUGGCUUCAAACCCAAUAUUAAAUGGGUAGGUGUUAGGGAGAAUAAACAGCUUCAUUUUUCAGCAUGGACACUACUACAUCUUUUUUUUUUUUUUUUGGUUAGUAGUACCCCAUCAUGGCUUAGAAGGACUAAACUGAAACAGAAACUGUGGUUAAGAAUAAGAUGGAUGUAUAUAAUUCAGUGCACAAAAUAGAGGAAGUUUAAAAACCUGAAUUCAUUUUCAUUGUGGUGGUACAGUGUUUUACUUCUUUUGUUUACUUCUAGACAACUUGCUCCUUCUCCCUUAGCUCCAUUUUAAUUUAUCUUUGCCUCAAAGCACUGGCUACUAUGAUUGAAAGAUAGAUGAUGGAGGAUAUUGCUGCUCUCACUUGGUCCUACCUAGUCCGUGGCCUCUCUAUUCCUCCUUUCCCUACUAUCCGUACACCCUUUACCAUAGAACCUGAUCUUUCCUAGGCCUUGAGGCAGGAAGAAUUAUCAGAGCUUUGGUCCCAAGCUCAAGACUCAGCCUCCCACUGCCUGGCCCCUUUCUAAGAACUGACAGCCCUUCUCUUGUGUCUGAAACCCUGACCUGUUAGCUUGCCAGGACCUGGAAUUUCUAUGCUUGUUGUUUGGACUUAGCUGCAUCCCUGCACCCAGACUGCUGGGCAGUUGUAGGUAUUGUUGGUGGCAUCACUUAAUUGCCUCCAGCUCUUUGUUUCUAGACUCCCUGUAUCUGUAUUCUCUCUAUCUGUUGGGCCUCCCUUCCCCCAUUACCUCAGGCUGGAUGUCCCCAUCCCCACUGCGCUCCUGGACUACCACCUGUUGUUUGCUCACUACUCUCUGGCUAUCAGGCACUGCCUAGAGGACUAUGGUUCCUCCCACCGAGCACCGGGAGCUGGGGCCUCCCUACCCCAACUCCCACGCAGCCCACAGUAGAUCUUGGCCUUCCCUGUCCUGCUGCAGCUCACUGCCCUGCCUUUCCCUAUCCUCACAGCACCUGGUUUAUUGCACUUGGAUUAUUUUUUAACCAGAUGAAAACUAUAUAUAAUAUAUAUGCUCUGGACAUACACUAAGUACAUAUUAAAGGUGUAUUAUAUGUAAUUUUGGCUGGGCGUGGUGGCUUAUGCUAGUAAUCCCCAGCACUUUGAGAGGCCAAGGUGGGUGGAUCAUUUGAGGUCAGGAGUUCGAGACCAGCCUGGCCAACAUGGUGAAACCCUGUGUCUACUAAAAAUACAAAAAUUAGCUGGAUGUGGCAGCAGGCGCCUGUAGUCCCAGCUACUUGGGAGGCUGAGGCAGGAGAAUUGCUUGUCGCAGUGAGCCCAGAUCUCGCCAUUGCACUCCAGCCCGGGCAACAGAGCGACACUCUGUUUCAAAAAAAAAAAAGCUAUAUAUAUUUUUUUUCUGGCUAAAAAUUAAUCCAAGUGUAAUAGGGGUGUGUGUGUAUAUAAUCUAUUGAAUAUAAUUCAAAUAGAUUUCUAGUCUGAACUUUGUGUGUGUGUGUAGGUGUUUGUGUACAUAUGUAAGUAUAUGCAUAUAUGUAUAUAUGUACACACAAAUAUGCCUAUGUGUGCAUAUGCGUAUGUGUGCACACAUAUGUGCGUAUAUGCGUAUGUGCACACGUGCGUAUAUGCGUCUGUGCGCACAUGUGUAUGUGUGCACGCAUAUGUGUAUGUGUGUGCAUAUGUGCGCAUAUGUGCAUGUGUAAGUAUGUGUGUACACAUGUACACAUAUGUACAUAUAUGUAAGUAUACAUGUACAUAUGUGUGUAUAUAUACACACAAAAAACCCAUACAUACAUUCAAAAAUGAAAAGACCCAUGUCUGAUUCUUCUUACUAUCCCUAAACACUGAUUCUACUCAAGAAUUCCUUUGGAGCUAGUAGUCCAGAAAUCCAGCAUGUGGAGCUGAAUAUGAUUACCUUGGGAAUGACUAGUAAAAGGAAGGCAAGGUGCGAUGAUAAAAGAUUCAAGCUGAGAUAACUGGGGAGAUAAAAUCUGGAUCAGGAGUGCAGAUUCAUUAACACCAUACUGUGCCUACUGUCCAUGGCUUACAUGGUAAUUGGGAUGUAUUCCUAGAUGUGGUGUGGUGUCACCAGUGUGACCAGGCAUACUAGUUUACCCAUCGGAUAUGUUGAAAGUACCUGACCCUGUGCUGGACUCAAAAGUUCAGAGCAUGGGAACUGUCUCAUUCUCACUCCAUUGUAUCCAGUGUGCUGCUUGGCACACCAGUAGGUAGUCAGUAAGUAUUUAUUAAAUGAAUGACAUACUUAAUUUUGUUCUCUACUGGUAGUUUGUCCUGGCGCAUUUCUUUUUAUUUCUAUUAGCCAAGGCAGGGUUAGGUGGUUUGUUUUGUUUUGUUUUUCCAUAUUUUUGAGGAUUAAUGAUAAAGCACUUAUCUUGUUGGAAUGAGAGUCUACUAACAAAUCCUGUACAUCAUAAUAACAGAACUAUCAUCUAACAACUUGUUCUCAAUAAAUAAACUUUAAAACAACUUCCUUUAUUAUUUCAAAGGCAUACAUAGUCAUAUAUAUAACCAGUAACCAAUACUUGUCAGUGUUUAUUUUAAAAUGCAGAUUAUUUUCCAUUUAGUUUGCUACCUACCUUAAAGCCCCUCUUCCUCCGAUCCUGAAUGCCGCUAGCUCUCCUCCUAAUUGAUCAUUCCCUCUUUCAACUAAUGUUGCCCAGUUAUUUAGAUUUCUAUUGUGAAACACCAGUCCCAUUAAAUCUGAAAACACUGCUAUAGAGUAACAUUUCGUUAGACUGGUCUCACUACUUUCUGAAGAAUGGACCAUAUUCAUUCUCCAUUUAAUGCCAUUCUCCUCCCUAUACUGCCUGAGUACCACCUCUUCCAAGAAGUCAUCUUUGACUACUCCAUCCUCAUCUCCUUAGGCUUUUCUCUCAAUGGUGUACAUCACUGACUUUCCACAUAGCUUAGCUGUUCUUAUGUCUUUCUCACAAAUAAGUUUUCAUACCUUUGUUCUUCAACAUAAAUAGGGGCCUCUCAGCCUGAGGGAGACAGUUUAGGGAGUACCAAAAUACACGUAGUAUCAAAAAAGCAGUCCCAGGCCACUGGAGCUUACCAGUUAUUGAAUCCUUGCUUCUGCGAAUCCAUUGUUUUCAAGGUUGGUGGGCAGUUGCAAACUCCUUGAUGCAUCUGCUGUGCUGUUGCAUCCUCCCUCCUGUCUAUCUCCCCUGCGUAUGUACCACUGUCGCUAUGGUCACAGUACUGAGCACCAGGGUUGCUAGGUUGCACAACUUUAAGGGGGUGCCAUUCGCAACCUGCCUGACACGAAUGGUGCUCCCUGGAAUUAUGCAUUGCAACAUCUGCACGUGAUCCUGUCGAACACCAGAAAGUUCUACUCCAGUGGCAAUGGGGAGGCUGGUCCCUGGCUUGCUUAAAGAACCCGCUUUUUUAUUGUGUAACAUUAUAUACCUUUCAGGACAUUUGACAAGAUAUAUUUAAGCAUUUGUUAAUUUUGUAUUAUUAAAUAUGUGUGUUUAUAAAGAAAUAGAUUAUCCUGAAAUAAAGAGAAAACGUUGGCAGUGUUCUGUGGUGGCCUAA